UAUGCAUAGUUUCUUUGAUUUACAAUGGAACUAUAUUGUUCCCAAUUCUUUUGUACCCACAAAAAUUACUCUAUUUAUUUGACAGUACCCACAACCCACUCCACCAAAAAAAUUUGGUUUCACAGUUCAAAAUUUUCAAACUUCAUUCAGUUCAAAUUUGGACCAGAUUCAAACUCCAUGGUCAAAGCCCAAUUUAAAUUGCUCCAAAAAUUCCGAAACUUUGCCAGACUCUCCAAAAAUUCUCAAAAAUUCCUAAAAUGCCUAGAGCCCUCUGGCAUUUCAUCAUACACUUGAUGUACACUGUUCAUCACUGUCAAAAUAUUCAGCAAAAUUCAGAGAUUCAGAGAGAGGGUGGAAUCGAUGCCGUGCACUCCUCAUCUUCCUCUCUCCCGCACGACAUCGCCUCCUUUGAGCUUUAAUGCGCCACCCUGGACCCUCAGGUCAGUGGCUCGCCGCCGAUGGCACAAUAGCUGGCCGGUGCACCUGCCACCGCCCUCGGCUGCGGCAACCGAGCCGAUCAACACGGCCACCGGUCGCCUUCACCGCGUCCACCGCUCCCCUGCCUACCUCCUCUCCACGCGUCGUCUGCUCCGCGGCGUUGACUCACUGUCCGAGCCACCCCGCGCCCGCCUGUCAGUUGCCAGAGCCGCACGUCGCGCUGACACUUCAAGAGAACUCCAUCGACCUCAUCCGAUCCACACCGACCACGCCCGUCGACCAAACCUACCUCAUCAGAUGGAUUAACUCUGGCGUGGUCCGCCCCUCACUAGACCUCCUCGGACUGCCUAUAAAAGGCCUACCCGAGCUUCAUUCAUCACUCACACCACUCCAUCAUCAUCCCAAUCGACCUCUCGCACACUCCCUCGACCUCGAGAAGGUCUUCUUCUCCACUUCCGGCUCCGUUCCGCCGCGGUACCCGAGAACCUCUCGUCGCCGUUAGGCCAUCUUCGCCACCAAAACAUCGUAAGUAGUCGUCUAGUCCACCAUGUAGUCGAUCCCGCGCCUCAAUUCGUCAACCGGAGCCCUCUUCGGCGGGAUCCGCCACCACCCGACGCCACCGUCCGCCGGAAACGACCUCGCCAUCAUUCUGGUGCUCGCCAGCGACAACCACCACCACCCACUGAUGUGGGGUGCCACCCCGAGCACAUCCCAGCCAUUGCCACCUCCUGAAACGCCGGCGAUCGCCGCCGGUGACCACUGCACCCCCUCCGUACGCGCGCACGAUCAUGGUCCUGGAGGAGGACGAGCUUGUGGAGGAAGGUUGCGCUAGCGAGCCCGACGCUUAGAGUUGUUCCUGGUUAGUCAACCGUGGUCUUGGAGUCUACCACAUGUAUCAUCCGCUGUGCUUUCGCUUCCCAAAUAAAAUAGUCAAGCCUCACUCUGAUGCUUGGCUCUAUUUUAUUGUAUCGGUGUUGUACUACCAUCAAACCACUGUCAUAUACCGCCACCACCAUAUAUUGCAAAUUUGUAAUAAAUAGUGGAGCACCCUGGCUCAACCCGAUGUAAUAUUAUGUCGUACUGGUUAUAAAUAUCAAGGAAGUCCACCAGUUGUUUUGAUCU